CAUUAAGAAGCUUGCAUUAAGCAACAGCCCUUUAAUCUGCAGAAGGGGACUUUCCCCCUUAAUGA
rnacentral:tRNA from 1 species